rnacentral:rRNA from 1 species
ACGAACGCUGGCGGCAUGCCUAACACAUGCAAGUCGAACGAGACCUUCGGGUCUAGUGGCGCACGGGUGCGUAACGCGUGGGAACCUGCCUUUAGGUUCGGAAUAACUCAGAGAAAUUUGAGCUAAUACCGGAUGAUGUCUUCGGACCAAAGAUUUAUCGCCUUUAGAUGGGCCCGCGUUGGAUUAGCUAGUUGGUGGGGUAAAGGCCUACCAAGGCGACGAUCCAUAGCUGGUCUGAGAGGAUGAUCAGCCACACUGGGACUGAGACACGGCCCAGACUCCUACGGGAGGCAGCAGUGGGGAAUAUUGGACAAUGGGCGAAAGCCUGAUCCAGCAAUGCCGCGUGAGUGAUGAAGGCCUUAGGGUUGUAAAGCUCUUUUACCCGAGAUGAUAAUGGCAGUAUCGGGAGAAUAAGCUCCGGCUAACUCCGUG